rnacentral:rRNA from 1 species
AUUGAACGCUGGCGGCAUGCCUUACACAUGCAAGUCGAACGGCAGCACGGGAGCAAUCCUGGUGGCGAGUGGCGAACGGGUGAGUAAUACAUCGGAACGUGCCCUGUUGUGGGGGAUAACUAGUCGAAAGAUUAGCUAAUACCGCAUACGACCUGAGGGUGAAAGCGGGGGACCGUAAGGCCUCGCGCAAUAGGAGCGGCCGAUGUCUGAUUAGCUAGUUGGUGGGGUAAAAGCUCACCAAGGCGACGAUCAGUAGCUGGUCUGAGAGGACGAUCAGCCACACUGGGACUGAGACACGGCCCAGACUCCUACGGGAGGCAGCAGUGGGGAAUUUUGGACAAUGGGGGCAACCCUGAUCCAGCAAUNCCGCGUGUGUGAAGAAGGCCUUCGGGUUGUAAAGCACUUUUGUCCGGAAAGAAAUGGCCCUGGCUAAUACUCGGGGUCGAUG